UUACGACCACAUCACGUUGAAACACUGUUUCCCGUACGAUCAGCGAAGUUAAGCAACGUCGAGACCGGUCAGUACCUAGAUGGAUGACCGCUUUGGAAUACCAGGUGCUGUAAG